rnacentral:rRNA from 1 species
UACAGAGGAGGCAAGCGUUGUUCGGAAUCACUGGGCUUAAAGCGCGUGUAGGCGGCCCGUCAAGUACCUUGUGAAAUCCCUCGGCUCAACCGGGGAAUGGCUGGGUAUACUGACAGGCUUGAGGUUGGUAGGGGUGCCUGGAACUCUAGGUGGAGCGGUGAAAUGCGUAGAUAUCAAGAGGAACACCUGAGGUGAAGACGGGUUGCUGGGCCGACACUGACGCUGACAGCGCGAAAGCCAGGGGAGCAAACGGG